UCGAAUCCAUCCCAUCCCCGCCGCCGCCGGCCGCCGUCACUGAUCCUCCCUCGAAUCGAAAGGUAAUUUCUCGCAGGAUCUAGGAAGCAAAUUUCGGCCCGUUCGAAGCCGACGAGGAUGCGGAAGACGGUGAGGGAUGAACUUGAACAUCUACUGGAUCAUGACAUGGAUAUGGCAGAGAUGUACCUUACGGAGUAGCUUAUAUCUAAUCGAGUUGGCGAGAUGUCUUCGAGAGGGGAUCUUGACAAUGAUGGUUCUGAAAUGGAUGAAGAGAGAGAUGAAGAUUUUAAAAAUGAGACAGAGAACAGCCAUGGAAGUUAUAUUGGUUUCAAGCCUAGCAUUGAAGAACUGGAGAUGCUCUUAGAGGCCUACUUUGUGCAGAUAGAUGGAUGGUACCUUAAACAAACUCUCCACUGGAUUGGAGAUUGAUUACGUCAGAGAUGAUGAUGGAUGGAUCGAAUCGAAGGGUCAACUCGGUUCAUCAUAGUUAUGAAACAGUCAUGGAGAAGGUUGUUAAGAAGAUCUCGGAGUAGGAAAUUUCCUCGCCUAAAUAAUCCAAGACCCCGUUUAAGCCUGCAAUAGUUCUAUUUCAGGUUGAGAUGUAUAAAUCAAUAAUUGACAGAGAAAUUUUGAAGAAUGUUGAAGACGUACAAAUCAAUGUCCUACGUGUCAUCGGCUCUAUCGAUCAUUCGCUUUCAUUCGGUUGCACUUGCUACUACUACAAAAAUAAAUGCAAAGGGUAUGUGUAUAUACCAACGACUAUUAGAAUUAUACGACAGUAAGAUACUAUGAAUUAUCAAAUAAUAUGUGUAAUUCAUCUAAUAUUACACUUUUUACCCCCUCUCACUCAGGUGUUCUCUCUUCUGGUGUUAGUUUGGAGCAAAUCUAUUUGAGAUAUGGUAGCCUUAGGCACUGGAAUUCCCCAAACCAAGCUCUCGGGGAUUUGUCACAAGCCAAUUAAGCAAAGGUUAUUUCAUAAGAGUCAGGUUUCGAAAUGUGAUAUUGUAUCUGCGUUUCACAGUUCAGACAGAGAGCACCACCACUCACUCUCUUAUAAUGCAUCGUCUCUAUAUAUUCCAUCUAAAGAUAGAAAAUUUUUGGGGAAAUCAUGUUACUCCUGAAGCGUGCUCUUCUGAUGAGAACAUGAUUGGAGCUUCUUCGACUACUGCACGUGAGAAGGUUGGAGUGCUGUUGCUGAACCUUGGAGGCCCAGAGACCCUUCAGGAUGUGCAGCCGUUUCUGUUUAAUUUAUUUGCAGACCCAACUGCGAAGGAGGAUAAUGAAAGGUUCUUGCUAAAGCUCAGGAAUCGAAUGGAGCGGUUGGGAUUGAUAAUCCAACGAUUGAGUUCCGAUUCGAGCAUUUGAACAUUGAUGCAAAGGCAUUUGUGGGGAAUCAAGGACAUACCUGAACAACAUCGAAGACAACACCAAAUGUAAGAACAUGUUGAAACAAAAUGUAGUUUGUUCCUUCUUGCUACUGUAUCAUUUGAUUUUGUAUGUAUAAAAAAGAUAUAAU